GGAUUAGAUACCCUGGUAGUCCACGCCGUAAACGAUGCACACUAGUUGUCGCGGGAGAUUGCCACCUGCGGUGACGUAGCUAACGCGUUAAGUGUGCCGCCUGGGGAGUACGGCCGCAAGGUUGAAACUCAAAGGAAUUGACGGGGGCCCGCACAAGCGGUGGAAUAUGUGGUUUAAUUCGACGCAACGCGCAGAACCUUACCCAGACUUGACAUGCUCGGAAGUCGCUGGAAACAGCUUCGUGCCCUUCGGGGAGCCGAGACACAGGUGCUGCAUGGCUGUCGUCAGCUCGUGCCG
rnacentral:rRNA from 1 species